GACGAACGCUGGCGGCGUGCUUAACACAUGCAAGUCGAACGGACAGGCCCUGCUUUUGUUGGGUGCUCGUGUGGCGCACGGGUGAGUAACACGCGAGUAUCCUGCCCCUGACAUUGGGGUAUAUUCAGGAGACUGGGGCUCAUACCCGAUAGAAGAUCCUGCUGCGCAGUGUGGGUUGGAAAAUUUCGGCGGUAGUGGAUAGUCUGGCUGCUUAUCAGCUUGUUUGUGUGGUAGGGGUUGACGAAGGCUUCGACGGGUAGCCGGCCUGAGAGGGUGACCGGGCACAAUGGUACUGAGAGACGCCGCAGACUCCUACGGGAGGCAGCAGUGGGGAAUAUGGCAGAAUGGGCGGAAGUCUGAGGUAACGACGCCGCGAGCGGGAUGACGGCCUACGGGUUGUAAACCGCUUUCGCCUGAGACGAAGCGUUAGUGACGGUAACUGGUAAAGAAGCACCGGCUAACUACGUG
rnacentral:rRNA from 1 species